UACUCUCUCGGCCCGGCGGGUUUGGUAGUUGCUGUAUAAAGGAUUGAAAUCGAAGGAUUUGGUGCGGUUUUCACCAUCAUUUAACGAAUCAAUAUCUUCACUUGUUUUCAAUCUCGCCUUUUCGAAGGGGAUUUUUUUUUUCUGGGUUUGUUUUUGAUCCCAAAAUGGAUGAUUUGUUGCCCCAGCCAAGGUUCGGGAGCUAGAUUUUAUGUUUUUCUUUCUAUUGGAUUCGAUUUUCUGCCAAAGAUUUGGUUUUGGAAUCUCUAUCUUGAUUGCCCAUCAAAGAUGGAACCUUUAUCUUGAUCUCUUUAAAUUUUUCAUCGUCUUUUUUUUUAAUUAUUAUUUAGCUGGAUUCUUUAUUUCUUAUUUGCUUUGUUAUUUCUCUCUCUCCAGCGCGCGCGCGUCUCAUGCCAGGUAUUUAGAGUCACUUAUC
rnacentral:lncRNA from 1 species